rnacentral:rRNA from 2 species
GAUGUUAGCGGCGGACGGGUGAGUAACACGUGGGUAACCUGCCUGUAAGACUGGGAUAACUCCGGGAAACCGGAGCUAAUACCGGAUAGUUCCUUGAACCGCAUGGUUCAAGGAUGAAAGACGGUUUCGGCUGUCACUUACAGAUGGACCCGCGGCGCAUUAGCUAGUUGGUGGGGUAAUGGCUCACCAAGGCGACGAUGCGUAGCCGACCUGAGAGGGUGAUCGGCCACACUGGGACUGAGACACGGCCCAGACUCCUACGGGAGGCAGCAGUAGGGAAUCUUCCGCAAUGGACGAAAGUCUGACGGAGCAACGCCGCGUGAGUGAUGAAGGUUUUCGGAUCGUAAAGCUCUGUUGUUAGGGAAGAACAAGUGCGAGAGUAACUGCUCGCACCUUGACGGUACCUAACCAGAAAGCCACGGCUAACUACGUGCCAGCAGCCGCGGUAAUACGUAGGUGGCAAGCGUUGUCCGGAAUUAUUGGGCGUAAAGGGCUCGCAGGCGGUUUCUUAAGUCUGAUGUGAAAGCCCCCGGCUCAACCGGGGAGGGUCAUUGGAAACUGGGAAACUUGAGUGCAGAAGAGGAGAGUGGAAUUCCACGUGUAGCGGUGAAAUGCGUAGAGAUGUGGAGGAACACCAGUGGCGAAGGCGACUCUCUGGUCUGUAACUGACGCUGAGGAGCGAAAGCGUGGGGAGCGAACAGGAUUAGAUACCCUGGUAGUCCACGCCGUAAACGAUGAGUGCUAAGUGUUAGGGGGUUUCCGCCCCUUAGUGCUGCAGCUAACGCAUUAAGCACUCCGCCUGGGGAGUACGGUCGCAAGACUGAAACUCAAAGGAAUUGACGGGGGCCCGCACAAGCGGUGGAGCAUGUGGGUUUAUUCGAAGCAACGCGAAGAACCUUACCAGGUCUUGACAUCCUCUGACAACCCUAGAGAUAGGGCUUUCCCUUCGGGGACAGAGUGACAGUGGUGCAUGGUUGUCGUCAGCUCGUGUCGUGAGAUGUGGGUUAGUCCCGCACGAGCGCCACCCUUGAUCCUAGUUGCCAGCAUUUAGUUGGGCACUCUAAGGUGACUGCCGGUGACAAACCGGAGGAAGGUGGGGAUGACGUCAAAUCAUCAUGCCCCUUAUGACCUGGGCUACACACGUGCUACAAUGGACAGAACAAAGGGCUGCGAGACCGCAAGGUUUAGCCAAUCCCAUAAAUCUGUUCUCAGUUCGGAUCGCAGUCUGCAACUCGACUGCGUGAAGCUGGAAUCGCUAGUAAUCGCGGAUCAGCAUGC